CGUUAGCGGCGGACGGGUGAGUAACACGUGGGUAACCUACCUAUAAGACUGGGACAACUUCGGGAAACCGGAGCUAAUACCGGAUAAGAUAUCGAACCGCAUGGUUCGAUAGUGAAAGAUGGUUUUGCUAUCACUUAUAGAUGGACCCGCGCCGUAUUAGCUAGUUGGUGAGGUAACGGCCCACCAAGGCAACGAUACGUAGCCGACCUGAGAGGGUGAUCGGCCACACUGGAACUGAGACACGGUCCAGACUCCUACGGGAGGCAGCAGAU
rnacentral:rRNA from 1 species